AAGGCAAACAUAGGUGUGGAGGUAGCAUUAAAAGAGUUUUAAAGAUGCAUAUAAAGCAUUGUUGUGUUUAUGAAGACAGUAAUAAACCAAACAGAAUUUAACAUGAUCUCACUCUCAAAAAACGAACAGUGUUGUUUGGUCCACGUUGUUUUUUGAGCUUGACGUUGUUAAAGUAUUGCUGACGAACUUUUUUUCCGUACCUGCAUAUAAUUUUUCUGGGUUUCGUUGCCAACUCUUUCCUGAGAGCUGGUUUUGAUGUCAAAGCUCGACCAGCUUCGGAAAAAAAUGAAAACAAAAUCCUUGAAGGAGCGAGAUUACCCUCGAGAAUGCGUUUGAUUCAACCGGCAGUGGAAAAUGUGGCAGCAAGAAUUUUGAAAGUCGUGUAUACUUUUUGAAAUUGAACAUCUCGUUUCAAAUUGUCGAUUACACAUUUCGGCGGUUGUCAUUUUCGUGCAAAUUAUGGUGGUCAAGUGCGAAUAAAUGGGUCACUGCUAGGAGAUGAGCUAUCUGCUCCAAUCAACCCAAGUUCGAAAAAGUGCAAGAAACUCACGUUCAAAUCAAUCAUUCAUCUGACACCAGAGAAGCUGUCGAAUUAGGAGGAGUUGGCCUGCAAGUCCCCCAGCGGAUCCCGAUUGCACUAGAAUACAGCCUGGAUAGUCACGCAUUCUACUGGGAUAGUCGCUUGUAAGGUUCUGGUCAAGCCAGCGUUGUUUUUAUUGUAUUAUUUUUAAUUAUUUAUACCUACAUAUAUUUUUAAAUACAAGUGCUAAUAAAAGUAGUGUUCUGUGUAAGACUAUUUUUUACUUGAA